rnacentral:rRNA from 1 species
GACGAACGCUGGCGGCGUGCUUAACACAUGCAAGUCGAACGGAAAGGCCCUGCUUGCAGGGUCCUCGAGUGGCGAACGGGUGAGUAACACGUGGGUGAUCUGCCCUGCACUUCGGGAUAAGCCUGGGAAACUGGGUCUAAUACCGGAUAGGAGCCAUUUUUAGUGUGAUGGUUGGAAAGUUUUUUCGGUGUAGGAUGAGCUCGCGGCCUAUCAGCUUGUUGGUGGGGUAAUGGCCUACCAAGGCGGCGACGGGUAGCCGGCCUGAGAGGGUGGACGGCCACAUUGGGACUGAGAUACGGCCCAGACUCCUACGGGAGGCAGCAGUGGGGAAUAUUGCACAAUGGGCGCAAGCCUGAUGCAGCGACGCCGCGUGGGGGAUGACGGCCUUCGGGUUGUAAACUCCUUUCGUUAGGGACGAAGCUUUUUGUGACGGUACCUAGAUAAGAAGCACCGGCUAACUACGUG